GCCUUCCACACUCUUCUGCCCCCUCCUUUAUCCUCUCCACCUCCCACAACUUUUCCCGACGUGGACAACGACGACGGUGCCAGACGCGACCGGGGCGUGGCGGCGGCGCUCGACCUGGUCCUCUAUCUCCUCCUCCACCCUCCUUCCAUUGCCUGCCUCUUCCUCCGUAUCUCCCUCCCUUCCUCUAUCUCUUUCUCUCCCUCCCUCUCUCCUGAUGCGGCGACGUGCACGACGUGAGGGCGCACCCACAUCGGCCGGGGCUCCGCCGCUGGUCGGGCCUGAUCCUCCUAUCUCUCCCCCAUCCUACAUACGGGCUCCUUAACGCCUCCUCCUGCCAGGGACCGACUGCUUUGGUCCUCCAUGAAACCCUAGGUACAGUUCCUGCGCCAUGCCUAAAUGCUCUUGUCUCAGCAGCAGCAAUAGGUAACAAUUUAAUACAUUACAUUACCAUCUCAUGUACUGCUUGCCGGCUGUGAUUAGGUUGAUCCAUGGAGUUGUUAGCAAAGAUAACCCCUUUUCCCUCGCUAACUAACCCUUAAAACCAGCGUACAUGGAGUUUUUCUUUCUCACCAGCAACUUCUACCUCGGACAUAUUAUCUCACUUGAUUCAGACAGGCGUACAUGGACCUGGAUGCAUUGCAUCUGCAUGUAAGUCGAGCUUUCUCCUUUUUGUGUGUAUCACAAUUCAUGGUUUAUUUAUUGUAAUAAUUUUAGAUUGAUGACAUAUGUAUAAUAUUUCUUAGUAUCCAUAGACCAUCUUUAGUAUCCCACAAAAAACUAGACUGCUCUGCGUUUCACAAUUCAUGGUUUAUUGUAAUAAUUUUAGAUUGACAACAUAUGUAUAGUAUUUCUUAGUGUCCAUACACCAUCUUUAGUAUCCCACCAAAAACUGGACUGCUGUGCAAUUAACUAAGAACCUAAAAUUGCACACCCUGCUAUCUUCAGCUCAAGAUAGUUGAAUGAAGGCAAACAGGUCAUUUGAAGAAGAAAAACACUGAGAUAUUUCAUUGAAUAAUUUUUUUGGUGCCAACUUAGUUAACAUUCUUGGCUCCAGUUAAUAAUGAUUCUGCUACUGCCUUUGUUCAUGACUCAAUUACUUUGUGUUGGUUGUUGUAGGUACCCUGCUAACCCAUAUACUCCUUGGCCUAUGAUGAAAAUUCCAUACCCAUUGCUCAAGCAUAUAAACUAGGCAUCACCUGCUACCUAUAUUGUGCAAUUUCUAAGAAUAAUCCAAUUACACCCAUGCCUUAAUGUCCAGGUUGAUCAACACAUGAUGAUUAUAUUGAUAUGUUUCUGAUGCCUCUAAAAAUCCAGGUUGAUCAGAAUGUAGACAGUCAGUUGUCAUCCUCAUUGUUUGAUAUAGUAAAUUGUCCUCCUCUGCUAUUUUCUAUUUUAAUUUGCACAUGGAUACAAGUCACCCCCGCUUAGAAGACCUGCACACCUCAUUUAACUGUAUUUUCCUCUUAUCUUGCAUUACCUUACAGGCUUUCCAGUUUAUUAUAUUACACUCUUCCUAUUCAACGCAGGACAAGAACAAGUUACAAAUCUUACUUUUUUUGGGACUGCUUUCCUUAAUUCAUCGUCUCAGGCUUACAUAUAUUAGUUUGGGACACAACCUCAUACUACUUUCAGAUGCACAUGUUUAUCAGGCUUACAUAUAUUAGUUUGGGACACAACCUCAUACUACUAUCAGAGGCACAUAUUUAUCGUACAAAUUCCAUUAUUGCACAAUUUUUUUUACUGAUUUCGGUGCGCUGUGUCCAUGACAUAUUGUUUCAUCCCCCCUAAUAUUUGGUGCAAGUCAUGGAAACGUGUGGGACACAAUCUCAUACUACUAUCUGAUGCACAUGUUUAUCAUACAAAUGCCAUUAUUGCACAAUAUUUUUGACUGAGUUAGCUGCUCCGUCCAGGAUCAAAUAUUGUUUUCUCCCAUGCUUUCGGUUGUACAAAGGUUGGCUACAACUUCUGCAUCUCAACAUGAUAAAGCGUUUUUAUCGUAUCUCCUCUCCAUACUUUUUAUAUGCCAGAUGUAGAGCACAAUAAACACUAAAACCUGAUCCUUGCUGCAUUGUGCACUUACAGUUAGUUUGAUUGUUAUUUGCCUCAAAAUAGGUUGUUAGAGGACAAAUGGCUCAUUUUAAGGUCCCUAAAGUUUCACAUAUGUCAUUCUUUUCUUAUGUACCAUGUUAGUUGGUUUAGCCCACUCAGCUGAUGAAACCAAAAUUUUCAGGCAGCACUCAUAUGGCAGUUAAGUGGCCUCGAUCAAUUAAUGAUCAUUCCAAGGAAAAUAUUAAAGCGUUUGAACGCUGUUGAGGCUGACACUGGUCCAAGAAGACAAGAAGCACUGGAUACGGUAAGCUAUUGAGCCUACACCCAAAACAUCGCAUUUUUUUAUGUAACAUGCACAUCACUUGCAAACAAAAUGUGGAUCUUUUUUUAAAAUUACAGAUUGUUCUUGGUACGGUGGAUAGGCAAUAAACCUAAGCACCAACUAUUUGUCCUAUGUUUACAGCAAAUCCACCUUGCACCACCUUAUUAUCUAAAUAUAAAGUGGCUUCUACAUUAUCAUACAUACUUCCAACUAUUUAUCUUUUAUUUUCCCCUAUUGUGUAUGCAAGUCCAAAACAUGUGGAAUUUUGUUUUUGGUGUGUCCUUAACACAUGAAUCCUCCAAGAUUAGUUGCAGACCGUCAGAAAAGUAUACUCCUUUCACAUUGGUAUAGGCCAAGAGGACACAAAUACAUAGCCACCACAUCAAGUGCAUGUGCCACUACAAAGACUCGGGUUCAUCUGACUUUUCAAGCAACACAACAACAUAGUGCCAGAUAACAAGAUCAGCGUUACCAUAUCAAUAACCUGAGGCUUUCCAUGUUCCUUGUCAAAAAAAAGAGGCUUUCCAUGUACAAUAUGUGUCCUCAUGUAUACACCACUACCACUAUCUAUGUUGUUCCCUAAUGUGCUAUAAUCAUAAAUUGUAGUUAAGACGUUGGCAGGUCUAUACAAUAUAACUAUCAUAUGAGGUCUACAUUCACUUUUUGCUUGUAACAUACACAUCCAUAAGUAUAAACUUACGCCCUGUUUGGUUC